ACGUAGGAGGCAAACGUUAUCCGGAUUUACUGGGCGUAAAGCGCGUGUAGGUGGUUCUGUAAGUCUGGCGUGAAAGCUCCUGGCUCAACUGGGAGAGGCCGUUCUAAACUGCAGAGCUAGAGGAUGGUAGAGGGAGGUGGAAUUCCGGGUGUAGCGGUGGAAUGCGCAGAUAUCAGGAGGAACACCAGUGGCGAAGGCGGCCUCCUGGACCGCACCUGACACUGAGGCGCGAAAGCUAGGGUAGCAAACGG
rnacentral:rRNA from 1 species